AACGAUCUUCGGGGCAGGGUGAAAUUCCCGAUCGGUGGUAUAGCCCACGAGCGUGUUGAGAGGCACGCAGGAUCCGGUGUAACUCCGGGGCCGACGGUUACAGUCCGGAUGUAAAGAAGAUCCAG
rfam:Chloroflexus aurantiacus J-10-fl, complete genome.